AAAUGAUUAUACAAUCCACAGAACAUAACCCGCGGGCUUAUUAAAAGAAGCAUGAUCCUCUACUAGUGGGACCCGCUGUGUAUCGUCCUUGCUCUCCCAGUGAAAUGCAACGAGAUUGUGCGUGACCCUUUAUCCUCAGUCUUCCAAAUUACUCUCAAACAUCAAACCCUUCCUCAUGAACCGUGAUGGAUUCAUGCUGAUCGUCUAACUGUGUCGAUUGAAUAGUCGAGCCAACUCCUCUGGAUUCAUUGCUAUCAUAGACAGGAAAAUUCCAGUCACAAGGAACCGCGGUUAGGGUUGCGGAGUGAAUUUGUAUAUUACGGCAAAUAUCAAUUACAUUUUAUUCAUUCAAUUUCAGGUAUUUAUAUUUAUAUUUUUUGUCAUUCUUCGAAUUGAAUUAAUCUUUAGAUUACUAAAGUCUGCAAAUUUUGAUCCGACAUAUUUGUGAUUGGGUCGAUUUCAUUUUUUAUUCGGAACUUGAUAAUAAGGAAUUUUAUGAAUCAUUCUAAUGUUUUGGCUGAUUUGUUGUGACAGGAUUAAUUAAUUAAAUGCUGUAAAAUUGUAAUGUUUCAGAUUCUUGUGUCCAUUAUAUAGUUGCGGGAAUUUUAUACACGAUUAUCAGAAUUGCCAGUAGACGACUGUAUCUUGUAUCAAUAUAAAAAUGCUAAUUCUCUUAGAUUUUUCCGGCAUAGGACCUUAUUAGGAAAUUUAGUUUCACCUAAAUAACAUUCCACAUUGCACUUUUCUGUUGAUAAUAUUCAUUGCUCUGUCUGAAGCUGCAUUGGUUAGAUGACAUUAUGGGGAUUUUGCAAGGGCAUCUUUCAGAUCUAAUUGAUUUUCCGUCAAUUCCAAGUCCCUGGCUUUAAUUUAAAGCCACAAAACAUUGCUUAAAUUCUUCAUAAAUUAUUUUCCUUUGUCAUUAUGGUUGCACCAUAUUUUCAACUACUCAUUUUUCAGAACUAGAAACAAAAUCCUUUCAUUGGAUCACACAUCAAAG
rnacentral:lncRNA from 1 species